GUCACAGAGACCAAAAAUAACUGAGGAGAGGAAGGGCGGCUGUAAGCUCACACAGGGCCCCACCAACACCACCUACCUCUUCCUCACUGGGGCUGGAACCUUUUCCUCUGCCCUCUAGUAACAACCACUUCCUAACCACCUUUUUUGAUCUGAUGGUGGGGUAGACUAAAGAGACAAACUAUGACCCUGGCCACUGGAGCAGUCAGCCCCCUCUUACCCAAGUAGUCCUCAGGCCCCUAGCAAACACUCCCCAGUCCUUC
rnacentral:lncRNA from 1 species